AGCCACAGCCAUAUCACCCUGCAGCCCAAGACUGGUUGCCCACUGAAGCUAAGCAGGGUUAAGCCUGGUCAAUACCUGGAUGGGAGACCUCCUGGGAAAACUAGGUUGCUGUUGAAA
rnacentral:rRNA from 1 species